rnacentral:rRNA from 1 species
GACGAACGCUGGCGGCGUGCUUAACACAUGCAAGUCGAACGGAAAGGCCCCUUUGGGGGUACUCGAGUGGCGCACGGGUGAGUAACGCGUGAGUAACCUGCCCUUGACUUCGGGAUAACUUCAGGAAACUGGGGCUAAUACCGGAUAGGAAUCCUUGCUGCAUGGUGGGGGUUGGAAAGCUUCGGCGGUUUUGGAUGGACUCGCGGCUUAUCAGCUUGUUGGUGGGGUAGUGGCUUACCAAGGCUUUGACGGGUAGCCGGCCUGAGAGGGCGACCGGCCACAUUGGGACUGAGAUACGGCCCAGACUCCUACGGGAGGCAGCAGUGGGGAAUAUUGCACAAUGGGCGGAAGCCUGAUGCAGCAACGCCGCGUGCGGGAUGACGGCCUUCGGGUUGUAAACCGCUUUCAGCAGGGGCGAAGCUUGUGGUGACGGUACCUGCAGAAGAAGCACCGGCUAACUACGUG